AGCAGGUUCUUGUGGCUCCUUCCUUGCAGAAUUCUUUUUUUAAUAUUGGUGCACUUAUACAGGAGGACUUGUUGGAACUUUUUCGAUACAAGUUGACGGCAAAGCUAGUGCUUUCAAAGGAUAAUAAACAAUGAUGUUUUAAAUUAUUUAAAGCACUAAAAAAUAGAGCUAUUGGAUUUUUUUUUUCAGCCUCUCAAAUGACAAUGCUUUGUAUAAGUGUGAAUGUGAGUCUUUAUCUAUUAGCAAACAAGAGCACUGUAUACAUCAUCUAGAUAAUACACAACCUUCAAUUUUGAGUUUUGACA